AUUUCUGAACUAGUCUAGAAAAUAUAGGUCUCUGUCCAGAACAAGGUAUACAUUUUCCGAGCGUGUCUAGAACAGGGUAUACAUUUUCGAAUUCUAAGCAUGUCUAGAACAGGUGAUUUUUUUUCAAUAUUUCUGUUUAGAACAGGGUAUGUUUUGCAAUGUUUUCUGGUUAGAACAGGGUAUGAUUUGGAAAGUGCUGUCGGCACAGUUAUACCCGAAAAGAUAGUCAGUUACUUUCCCCUCCCC
rnacentral:lncRNA from 1 species